rnacentral:rRNA from 1 species
GUGUAGCGGUGAAAUGCGCAGAUAUCAGGAGGAACACCGAUGGCGAAGGCAGGUUACUGGGCUGUUACUGACGCUGAGGAGCGAAAGCAUGGGGAGCGAACAGGAUUAGAUACCCUGGUAGUCCAUGCCGUAAACGUUGGGCACUAGGUGUGGGGGACAUUCCACGUUUUCCGCGCCGUAGCUAACGCAUUAAGUGCCCCGCCUGGGGAGUACGGCCGCAAGGCUAAAACUCAAAGGAAUUGACGGGGGCCCGCACAAGCGGCGGAGCAUGCGGAUUAAUUCGAUGCAACGCGAAGAACCUUACCAAGGCUUGACAUACACCGGAUCGUUCCAGAGAUGGUUCUUCCCUUUUGGGCUGGUGUACAGGUGGUGCAUGGUUGUCGUCAGCUCGUGUCGUGAGAUGUUGGGUUAAGUCCCGCAACGAGCGCAACCCUCGUUCUAUGUUGCCAGCACGUGAUGGUGGGGACUCAUAGGAGACUGCCGGGGUCAACUCGGAGGAAGGUGGGGAUGACGUCAAAUCAUCAUGCCCCUUAUGUCUUGGGCUUCACGCAUGCUACAAUGGCCGGUACAAUGGGUUGCGAUACUGUGAGGUGGAGCUAAUCCCAAAAAGCCGGUCUCAGUUCGGAUUGGGGUCUGCAACUCGACCCCAUGAAGUCGGAGUCGCUAGUAAUCGCAGAUCAGCAACGCUGCGGUGAAUACGUUCCCGGGCCUUGUACACACCGCCCGUCAAGUCACGAAAGUUGGUAACACCCGAAGCCGAUGGCCUAACCCUUGUGGUAGGGAGUCGUCGAA